rnacentral:rRNA from 1 species
UACAUAGGGUGCAAGCGUUGUCCGGAAUUAUUGGGCGUAAAGAGCUCGUAGGUGGUUUGUUACGUCGGUUGUGAAAUUCAGGGGCUCAACCCCUGACUUGCAGCCGAUACGGGCAAGCUAGAGUUUGGUAGGGGAGACUGGAAUUCCUGGUGUAGCGGUGGAAUGCGCAGAUAUCAGGAGGAACACCGAUGGCGAAGGCAGGUCUCUGGGCCAAUACUGACACUGAGGAGCGAAAGCGUGGGGAGCGAACAGGAUUAGAUACCCUGGUAGUCCACGCCGUAAACGGUGGGCGCUAGUUGUGCGAACCUUCCACGGUUUGUGCGACGCAGCUAACGCAUUAAGCGCCCCGCCUGGGGAGUACGAUCGCAAGAUUA